AUAAAUUUCAUCAAUUCACUUUCAGGUGGCAUAUGUGGAAAAUGCCACAUACUUGUUAUGUGUCAAACCCUCAUUUUUCUUCAUCAAAAGGAAUGAAACUCAACCCUUUAAACACUCUCUCUCCCGUGUCCUCUGUUUCUCUAAACCCCCAAAUUGAAAACCCCAAAUUCCCAGUCUCUCUCUCUCUUGUCUUGGCGUCCAACCGUUUGAGUAUCUUAGGGGACUCAAACGGGGGUAAUUUGGUCAUUUUAUGCGUUGGAAGAUUUCACGCGCGUGUGGCUGACAUUUGCUUGGUACCAAUGCUAGGUUAUAAUGGUACCAUUCUCCGAAAAUAUUGAUAUCUUGGUACCAGUCCUGAUAACAAUUUGAUACCAAUGUCAGGUUAUAUAUAAUGGUACCAUUGUGUUUUAUUUUGGGUGUUUGAGUCUUUUUUGGACUCAAACUGUUGGUUACCAAGCCUUUCUCGGUUAGAGGUUGUUGUUGUAAAUUGGAUUCGUGGGAUGAUUGUAUAUGAUGAAUUGUAGAUAGUUCAUGGAAGAGUUAGAAAGGAUGAGCAAGUUAAUUCAUUUAUCUGAAUUAUAGUUGGAAAGAAUGUAAAUUGUUGUUAUUGUUGUUAUGAGGUGAAUUUCGGAGAAUGCUUUUGAGAAGUAUAUGAUUCAAGCUAAGAUGAAGGCUUUUGGAAUCCACAUUGGAAUUAGACUAGUUGGUGUCUAAAAUAAAAUGAUCGAUAUUUUAUAUAUGGGUGUUCAAUUAGUAAGUAUAUGGAAGUGUUAUAAAAAGAUUAAUCGAAUAAGUUAUGGGUUUCUAGUUAAACCAUAAGGUGUAUUCACUAUUCUAAUGAUAAUUAUUGUUUAUGGUGAAUUAUGUGGAGUUUAAGAUUGAGUUGGUGAUCAAAUAUCAAGAUCUUGGAGGUUUGUAAAGAAUUGGAUUUCGAGUGAGGUGUAUGUUCGGGUUUCGGAAUGAAUCAAGAGAAAGAGUUUUCAGUUAAGAGAUGGAAAUUAAAUUAUUUAGAAUAUAAGUUGUUGUAUUAAGUUCUCAUUGGAUAUUUAAGUAUUAUAUUAUUUUGGGAUUCGAGUAAAGAUAUUAUGUAAUCUGUUAUUUGGUUAUCGAGGAUGAUGUGUUGUGGGCCCUGACCCACAGGUCCAGGAUCGUUUAAUAGUUAUGUGUUCCGCUGCGAGUGAAUGUAAUUCAAGGUUAUUAAGUGUUAAUUAAGUUUUAUGGAUGUUAAGUAUAA